UACUUUAUAUGAAAAAUUGCAGUGUGAAUUAUAAUUUAAAAUUCGCCCAGAACUAGUCGGUUUUCUAUACCAGUUUGUGAUCAGAGAGCCAUCAUUUUUUUUGUGAACUGUGACGUCCAAAAAUGGCAAAGAAUUGUCCCUUUCCAUCUCCAAAGUGAAUUGGAUGCGAUGAUGGAAUUGGUUGAAAACAGUUAAAAGUUCUUCACAUUUGUUGGUCGGAAUUAUUAAAAACAUGUCAUCCACAUACAAUUUAAGAAGCAGGAUAUCAAAAGACAAAUUCAUUACAGUGAGUUGGGAAUUCAACUUUUUUAACAACAUAUUCUAGACUCCACCUGUGUUGAACAGGUUAAAAUCGAAAUAAAUAUUUCAGUUUCGGAACACUCAUUGAAUGUAAUACGUCGUUGUGAUGAUUUGUAUUUUGCCUCAAAAUUUUAGACGGAGUUUUCCUAAGCUUCUCUACAAGUUCGAUUCCAAUUUGCUCAACAAGCUAAUAUUAAGAUCUUUUGUGUGUAAAACAUAAGUUCGACUUUGCCCUGAAGAAGUAGAAAUAUAUCUACGAAACGUU